GUCAGCACAAUCCGGAACCUCCAACAUGAUGAGGGGGUGCUGAUGUCGGGGGAAACCCUCCCAUAACAGAAUGGGAUAGAGAGAAAGACAAAGACCGGACCGACUAAAGCGCCCCAGUUGGGCGCUUUAGUUUU
rnacentral:sRNA from 1 species